GACGAACGCUGGCGGCGUGCUUAACACAUGCAAGUCGAACGGAAAGGCCCUGCUUGCAGGGUACUCGAGUGGCGAACGGGUGAGUAACACGUGGGUGAUCUGCCCUGCACUUCGGGAUAAGCCUGGGAAACUGGGUCUAAUACCGGAUAGGAGCCAUUUUUAGUGUGAUGGUUGGAAAGUUUUUUCGGUGUAGGAUGAGCUCGCGGCCUAUCAGCUUGUUGGUGGGGUAAUGGCCUACCAAGGCGGCGACGGGUAGCCGGCCUGAGAGGGUGGACGGCCACAUUGGGACUGAGACACGGCCCAAACUCCUACGGGAGGCAGCAGUAGGGAAUCUUCCGCAAUGGACGCAAGACUGACGGAGCAACGCCGCGUGUGUGAAGAAGGUUUUCGGAUCGUAAAGCACUGUUAUUAGCCAAGAACACCCCUAGUAGUAACUGGCUAGGGAUUGACGGUAACUAAUCAGAAAGCCACGGCUAACUACGUGCCAGCAGCCGCGGUAAUACGUAGGUGGCAAGCGUUGUCCGGAUUUAUUGGGCGUAAAGGGAGCGCAGGCGGUGACUUAAGUCUGAUGUGAAAGCCCACGGCUUAACCGUGGAGGGUCAUUGGAAACUGGGUCACUUGAGUACAGAAGAGGAAAGCGGAAUUCCAUGUGUAGCGGUGAAAUGCGUAGAUAUAUGGAGGAACACCAGUGGCGAAGGCGGCUUUCUGGUCUGAUACUGACGCUGAGGCUCGAAAGCGUGGGGAGCAAACAGGAUUAGAUACCCUGGUAGUCCACGCCGUAAACGAUGAGUGCUAAGUGUUGGAGGGUUUCCACCCUUCAGUGCUGGCGUUAACGCAAUAAGCACUCCGCCUGGGGAGUACGGUCGCAAGACUGAAACUCAAAGGAGUUGACGGGGACCCGCACAAGCGGUGGAGCAUGUGGUUUAAUUCGAAGCAACGCGAAGAACCUUACCAGGUCUUGGCAUCCUAUGACCACUCUAGAGAUAGAGUUUCUCUUCGGAGCAUAGAGACAGGUGGUGCAUGGUUGUCGUCAGCUCGUGUCGUGAGAUGUUGGGUUAAGUCCCGCAACGAGCGCAACCCUUAUAACUAGUUGCCAGCAUUCAGAUGGGGACUCUAGUUAGACUGCCGGUGACAAACCGGAGGAAGGUGGGGAUGACGUCAAAUCAUCAUGCCCCUUAUGACCUGGGCUACACACGCGCUACAAUGGACGAUACAACGAGCAGCAAACUCGCGAGGGCAAGCGAAUCUCUUAAAGUCGUUCUCAGUUCGGAUUGCAGGCUGCAACUCGCCUGCAUGAAGCCGGAAUCGCUAGUAAUCGUGGAUCAGCACGCCACGGGAAUCCGUCCCGGGUCU
rnacentral:rRNA from 1 species